CUAAGAGCUAGGACAUGUCACUGCAGCCUU
rnacentral:piRNA from 1 species